GGUCCCAUCGUCUAACGGUUAGGACGCCAGGUUCUCAUCCUGGUAAUAGGGGUUCGAUUCCCCUUGGGACUACCA
rnacentral:tRNA from 1 species